rnacentral:rRNA from 1 species
CAGCAGCCGCGGGAAUACGAAGGGGGCUAGCGUUGCUCGGAAUGACUGGGCGUAAAGGGCGCGUAGGCGGCGAUCAAAGUCAGGCGUGAAAUUCCUGGGCUCAACCUGGGAAUUGCAGUGGAUACUGGGUCACUAGAGUGUGGUAGAGGAUAGUGGAAUUUCCGGUGUAGCAGUGAAAUGCGUAGAGAUCGGAAGGAACAUCUGUGGCGAAGGCGACUAUCUGGGCCAACACUGACACUGAGGCACGAAAGCGUGGGGAGCAAACAGGAUUAGAUACCCCAGUAGUCCCUGUCUCUUAUAC